GUGGCUGUAGCUCAGUUGGUUAGAGCGCCGGGUUGUGGUUCCGGAGGUCGUGGGUUCAAUUCCCAUCAGCCACCCCA
rnacentral:tRNA from 1 species